UGGGACAACUAUUGGAAACGAUAGCUAAUACCGGAUAACAGCAUUAACUGCAUGGUUGAUGUUUAAAAGUUGGUUUUGCUAACACUAUGAGAUGGCUUUGCGGUGCAUUAGCUAGUUGGUGGGGUAAAGGCCUACCAAGGCGACGAUGCAUAGCCGACCUGAGAGGGUGAUCGGCCACACUGGGACUGAGACACGGCCCAGACUCCUACGGGAGGCAGCAGUAGGGAAUCUUCCGCAAUGGGCGAAAGCCUGACGGAGCAACGCCGCGUGAGUGAAGAAGGAUUUCGGUUCGUAAAGCUCUGUUGUUAGGGAAGAAUGAUUGUGUAGUAA
rnacentral:rRNA from 1 species